rnacentral:rRNA from 1 species
AGGGCACCACCAGGAGUGGAGCCUGCGGCUUAAUUUGACUCAACACGGGAAAACUCACCCGGCCCGGACACUGGAAGGAUUGACAGAUUGAGAGCUCUUUCUUGAUUCAGUGGGUGGUGGUGCAUGGCCGUUCUUAGUUGGUGGAGUGAUUUGUCUGGUUAAUUCCGAUAACGAACGAGACUCUAGCCUACUAAAUAGAUCGUCGGCUUACAAACGCCGGCGAGACUUCUUAGAGGGACAGGCGGUGAUUCGACCGCACGAAACAGAGCAAUAACAGGUCUGUGAUGCCCUUAGAUGUCCGGGGCCGCACGCGCGCUACACUGAAGUGAUCAGCGUGCUUUUUCAACCUACUCUGUCAAGAGUGGGGAACCCAAUGAACCUUCUUCGUGAUUGGGAUAGGGGAUUGUAAUUAUUCCCCUUGAACGAGGAAUUCCCAGUAAGCGCGAGUCAUAAGCUCGCGUUGAUUACGUCCCUGCCCUUUGUACACACCGCCCGUCGCUACUACCGAUUGAAUGUUUU